AUCUAAUAAUUUUGAAUUUUCUGCAGUUGAAGAAUGCUCUAGAUCUCCCUAAUUGUCUUCAAAUAUUGAGUCAAUAUAUUUUCUCCAAGUGUUCGCCGUGUCUUAAUGUCAGUUGUUUAAGUAGAAGAGUUUACUUUUUUAGUGUUUCAGUACUAAGAAUCUUCAAAGCCUUAAAAGAGAUGGAGACAUAGCUAAUUAACCAUUAAUUUGAAUAACAAUAUCUGUUAUUAUUUCAAAACUAAUUUUGUCCUUUGUACUUUGUAGCACCUCAAAACACUAUCACGGUUGGUUGCUCUGCUAUUACCUUUACAGAAACCAUCAACAGAUUUUAGUGAUUUUAUCUUUUGACUGAAAGAAAUUAAAUGUGCAUCUCUCAACAAAUACAUAUCCAACUUCUUUAUGGAAUUUCAGAUUGACCCCGAGGAAGAGCGAAAAAUUUUGGCUAGAGAAAUGAAGGCAUCCAAGGAAUACUUCACAAAUACUAUGAAGCGGCACACACUUGUGUUAAAGAAAAGGGACUUGAUGAGAAGAAAAGCAGAGGAAGAAAAGCGGAAGGCUAUCGGUCGGCUUUUAGCUGCAGAGGGCCUUGAACUUGACACAGAUGAUGAAGCAAAGUAGCAAGUGUCCAGUGAUACCCUGAUUGGCACUACUUUACGCAAUACUUUUAGAAACAUACUAAUGUUUAUUCAAGGAAAAAAAAAAUUGUACAUAGGUAUUUGCUUAUAUAUUUAGAAUUAAUUAAAAAUUCUCUGUUCAUGAACACAACUCUCUCACUCUUCCCUCACUGAGAUACAUUAUAUGUAUUUAUACAUACUCUAAUGUUAAUUAAUCAUGUCAAUUGAUGUGAAAUAUCAAUAUUACCCUCUGCUUUACUAUAAAGAACAAGGAUUACGUUUGGCAUGUAAAAUUGGAUUGAACUAAAUUAAAUUGGGUUGGAUUAUACACAAUAUCGACUCAUGUUUGGAACAAUAUUAGAUUAGAUUGUGUUAAAUUAAAUUAAAUAGUAUUUAAGUUAAUAUUUGAAUUUAAAUAUAAAUUAUUUAAAGAUAUUCAAUUAGAAGUAUUACAAUUAAUUUAAAAUAAAACUAAUAAGAAAAUUAAAUAUAUGUUCGAUUUUAUUGAGUAGCCAUAAUUAUAACAAAAGGAUAUAAAUUAUUAAAGGGUCAUUCUAUGAUGCCAUAAUUAAAAUCACGACAUUAAUACCAUAAUUAAACAUGAAUUAUAUAAAUAAUAACAAUAUCUGUUAUUAUUUCAAAACUAAUUUUGUCCUUUGUACUUUGUAGCACCUCAAAACACUAUCACGGUUGGUUGCUCUGCUAUUACCUUUACAGAAACCAUCAACAGAUUUUAGUGAUUUUAUCUUUUGACUGAAAGAAAUUAAAUGUGCAUCUCUCAACAAAUACAUAUCCAACUUCUUUAUGGAAUUUCAGAUUGACCCCGAGGAAGAGCGAAAAAUUUUGGCUAGAGAAAUGAAGGCAUCCAAGGAAUACUUCACAAAUACUAUGAAGCGGCACACACUUGUGUUAAAGAAAAGGGACUUGAUGAGAAGAAAAGCAGAGGAAGAAAAGCGGAAGGCUAUCGGUCGGCUUUUAGCUGCAGAGGGCCUUGAACUUGACACAGAUGAUGAAGCAAAGUAGCAAGUGUCCAGUGAUACCCUGAUUGGCACUACUUUACGCAAUACUUUUAGAAACAUACUAAUGUUUAUUCAAGGAAAAAAAAAAUUGUACAUAGGUAUUUGCUUAUAUAUUUAGAAUUAAUUAAAAAUUCUCUGUUCAUGAACACAACUCUCUCACUCUUCCCUCACUGAGAUACAUUAUAUGUAUUUAUACAUACUCUAAUGUUAAUUAAUCAUGUCAAUUGAUGUGAAAUAUCAAUAUUACCCUCUGCUUUACUAUAAAGAACA
rnacentral:lncRNA from 1 species